rnacentral:rRNA from 1 species
AGCAGCCGCGGUAAUUCCAGCUCCAAUAGCGUAUAUUAAAGUUGUUGCAGUUAAAAAGCUCGUAGUUGAAUUUCGGGACUAAUAUGUCGGUCGUACUUUGUACGUACUAGCAUUAUUGGUUUCUCCCUUCUGACGAACCACGAUGUCAUUAAUUUGGUGUCGCGGGAAAUCAGGACUGUUACUUUGAAAAAUUAGAGUGUUUAAAGCAAGCUCGCGCUUGAAUACAUUAGCAUGGAAUAAUGAAAUAGGACGUUUGAUUCUAUUUUGUUGGUUUCUAGGAUCGACGUAAUGAUUAAUAGGGAUAGUUGGGGGCAUUAGUAUUCAAUUGUCAGAGGUGAAAUUCUUGGAUUUAUUGAAGACUAACUACUGCGAAAGCAUUUGCCAAGGAUGUUUUCAUUAAUCAAGAACGAAAGUUAGGGGAUCGAAGACGAUCAGAUACCGUCGUAGUCUUAACCAUAAACUAUGCCGACUAGGGAUCGGAUGAUGUUAAUUUUUAAUGUACUCA